CACGUAUCCAACCUGCCGAUGACUCGGGGAUAGCCUUUCGAAAGAAAGAUUAAUACCCGAUGGCAUAGUUCUUCCGCAUGGUAGAACUAUUAAAGAAUUUCGGUCAUCGAUGGGGAUGCGUUCCAUUAGGUUGUUGGCGGGGUAACGGCCCACCAAGCCUUCGAUGGAUAGGGGUUCUGAGAGGAAGGUCCCCCACAUUGGAACUGAGACACGGUCCAAACUCCUACGGGAGGCAGCAGUGAGGAAUAUUGGUCAAUGGACGAGAGUCUGAACCAGCCAAGUAGCGUGAAGGAUGACUGCCCUAUGGGUUGUAAACUUCUUUUAUACGGGAAUAAAGUGAGGCACGUGUGCCUUUUUGUAUGUACCGUAUGAAUAAGGAUCGGCUAACUCCGUGCCAGCAGCCGCGGUAAUACGGAGGAUCCGAGCGUUAUCCGGAUUUAUUGGGUUUAAAGGGAGCGUAGGCGGACGCUUAAGUCAGUUGUGAAAGUUUGCGGCUCAACCGCAAAAUUGCAGUUGAUACUGGGUGUCUUGAGUACAGUAGAGGCAGGCGGAAUUCGUGGUGUAGCGGUGAAAUGCUUAGAUAUCACGAAGAACUCCGAUUGCGAAGGCAGCUUGCUGGACUGUAACUGACGCUGAUGCUCGAAAGUGUGGGUAUCAAACAGGAUUAGAUACCCUGGUAGUCCACACAGUAAACGAUGAAUACUCGCUGUUUGCGAUAUACAG
rnacentral:rRNA from 1 species